UUGCUCUUCAACGAGGAAUCCCUAGUAAGCGCAAGUCAUCAGCUUGCGUUGAUUACGUCCCUGCCCUUUGUACACACCGCCCGUCGCUACUACCGAUUGAAUGGCUCAGUGAGGCUUCCGGACUGGCCCAGGGGAGUCGGCAACGACACCCCNAGGGCCGGAAAGCUAUCCAAACUCGGUCAUUUAGAGGAAGUAAAAGUCGUAACAAGGUCUCCGUAGGUGAACCUGCGGAGGGAUCAUUACUGAGUUUUCAACUCUCCAAACCAUGUGAACUUACCACUGUUGCCUCGGUGGAUGGUACCUGUUCUUUAGGUGCUGCCGCCGGCGGACCAAUAAACUCUUGUCAACUAUUGUCAUUCUGAAUCAUAACUAAGAAAUAAGUUAAAACUUUCAACAACGGAUCUCUUGGUUCUGGCAUCGAUGAAGAACGCAGCGAAAUGCGAUAAGUAAUGUGAAUUGCAGAAUUCAGUGAAUCAUCGAAUCUUUGAACGCACAUUGCGCCCAUUAGUAUUCUAGUGGGCAUGCCUGUUCGAGCGUCAUUUCAACCCUUAAGCCUAGCUUAGCGUUGGGAGACUGCGCUAAACCGCAGCUCCUCAAAACCAGUGGCGGAGUCCUCUCGUGCUCUGAGCGUAGUAAUUACUUUAUCUCGCUUCUGCAAGUACGGUGGUCGACGGCCAUAAACCGCACCCUUCGGGGGCACUUUUUUAAUGGUUGACCUCGGAUCAGGUAGGAAUACCCGCUGAACUUAAGCAUAUCAAUAAGCGGAGGA
rnacentral:rRNA from 1 species